CAGAACGUAGUCGACUAUGUCACUUCAAUGUAGUCGACUAUGUCACUUCAAUGCAGUUUUGAAAAUAUUUCUUUGCAAAAAUACACACAACACUGUUUUUGAAGAUUUGUGCAAAGUCAUGAGUUUUAGUCGACUUGCUUCAUAAUGAAGUCAACUUAAAACUUGUAGUUUUGCCACACAAUAUAAGUUCAAUCAAAGUGCAUGUGGUUUUCUUUUCUAAAACGUAUGUUAUGCAAUAACAGAUGAUAUCUCAUGUAGAAAGCAGUCAAUAUGCACACAUAGACAGAAUCAACACAAACAUGUUCUUCAAGAAUUCAUACAUAUGAAAGUAAUGAACAUGUAACACAUAUCAGUACAUGUGUUAUUAAUAAUGUGUUGUCAUCAUCAAAAACCAGAAGCACUGUGAGAUUGUAAGGUUUAGCUAAACUAGUGCUCUCCUUAUCAACAAUCUCAACAAAAGAAAUUUUUAAACUAGUCAUGAAGAAUUCAAAAAUCGUGUACUUACUGAUGCAAGUAAGGUGUUAAAUAAACCUCUUUACCAGCUUUUUCGAACAUCUUUACCAACUAAAUAAAAAGAAUAAUUUCAUUCUAAUAACCAUAUUUGAAAGAAAAAACAUGAACAAUUACAAAAUAAUACAACUAAAAGACAAUAAAUUACAAAGACAUGAAGGAUAAAAAUUAAUACCUUAGAGAUGGAAUCUUCAAAUUGAUAACUUGUAGGAGGAACCCUAAUCAAUACUUGGUUGUAAUUGUAAUCAAUGACUGAGCAAUAGAACACAUUAAUAUAAAGUCAGCUUAUUGGAAAUUACAAAAACAACCUCAAAGUCUAUUAUGCAGCAAUUAUAAAUAUCCUGUGUUCCAAAAUUGGGGCCAGUACUCUUUUCUGGAUUUGUGAUAUUAACAAUAAUAGAAAUUAAACAAUCACAGUCAAUUAUACUAUGUAUUCAAGUUGAAGAACAGGGUUAUCUGUCAAUCUCUGUUUCGUGUAAGCACUUUCUAAGUAUUUGUAGAUAUUGAAC
rnacentral:lncRNA from 1 species